GGAAGAUUUGGAAGCUGAAGACAGUUAUUUACCUGAAGUGGACACUGCUGAAACCACAGCACCAUUGGACAAUGCACAUGAAGGUCCUGAAGAAGAAAAUCUACAGGUGGAAAAUUUGGAAGCUGAAGACAGUUAUUUACCUGAAUUGGACACUGCUGAAACAACAGCACCAUUGGACAAUGCACAUGAAGGGAGAGACCCAACUAAAGAAGGAGAGUUCGGAGAAGAAAUCAGCAAACCAGAGAGAGAAG